CGGACGGGUGAGUAACGCGUGAGAAUCUGCCUCUUGGUUGGGGACAACAGUUGGAAACGACUGCUAAUACCCAAUGUGCCGCAAGGUAAAAGAUUUAUUGCCAGGAGAGGAGCUCGCGUCUGAUUAGCUAGUUGGUGGGGUAAAGGCCUACCAAAGCAUCGAUCAGUAGCUGGUCUGAGAGGAUAAGCAGCCACACUGGGACUGAGACACGGCCCAGACUCCUACGGGAGGCAGCAGUGGGGAAUUUUCCGCAAUGGGCGAAAGCCUGACGGAGCAAUACCGCGUGAGGGAGGAAGGCUCUUGGGUUGUAAACCUCUUUUCUCAGGGAAGAAGAUCUGACGGUACCUGAGGAAUAAGCAUCGGCUAACUCCGUGCCAGCAGCCGCGGUAAUACGGAGGAUGCAAGCGUUAUCCGGAAUUAUUGGGCGUGAAGCGUCCGCAGGUGGUUACUCAAGUCUACUGUCAAAGACCAGAGCUUAACUCUGGAAAGGCGGUGGAAACUGAGGAACUAGAGUUCGGUAGGGGUAGCGGGAAUUCCCAGUGUAGCGGUGAAAUGCGUAGAUAUUGGGAAGAACAUCGGUGGCGAAGGCGCGCUACUGGGCCGGAACUGACACUCAGGGACGAAAGCUAGGGUAGCGAAAGGGAUUAGAUACCCCCGGAC
rnacentral:rRNA from 1 species